UACGAAGGGUGCAAACGUUGCUCGGAAUUAUUGGGCGUAAAGCGCACGUAGGCGGACAUUUAAGUCAGGGGUGAAAUCCCAGAGCUCAACUCUGGAACUGCCUUUGAUACUGGGUGUCUUGAGUAUGGAAGAGGUGAGUGGAAUUCCGAGUGUAGAGGUGAAAUUCGUAGAUAUUCGGAGGAACACCAGUGGCGAAGGCGGCUCACUGGUCCAUUACUGACGCUGAGGUGCGAAAGCGUGGGGAGCAAACAGGG
rnacentral:rRNA from 1 species